rnacentral:rRNA from 1 species
AUUGAACGCUGGCGGCAUGGUUAAAGCAUGCAAGUCGAACGCGAACCACCUUCGGGUGGGGAAAGUGGCGAAAGGGCGAGGAAUACGAUUCGAAUGUGCCCCGAGGUGGGGGAUAGCGUCGAGAAAUCGGCGGUAAUACCCCAUGUGCUCUACGGAGGAAAGGUUUACCGCCUUGGGAGCAGCGAUCGUCCUAUCAGGUAGUUGGUGGGGUAAUGGCCUACCAAGCCGAAGACGGGUAGCGGGGUGUGAGAGCAUGACCCGCCGCAUCGGAACUGAGACACUGUCCGGACUCCUACGGGAGGCUGCAGCGACGAAUAUUCCGCAAUGGGCGAAAGCCUGACGGAGCAAUGCCGCGUGUGGGAUGAAGCGCCUUCGGCGUGUAAACCACUGUCAGGUCCUAGGAACACUGACCAGGACCGAGAGGAAGGGACCGGCUAACCUCGUGCCA